rnacentral:rRNA from 1 species
GCUCAGGAUGAACGCUAGCGGCAGGCCUAACACAUGCAAGUCGAGGGGUAGGGAGAGCUUGCUGUGGUGAGAGCGGCGCACGGGUGCGUAACGCGUAUACAACCUACCUUUUGCUACGGGAUAGCCCAGGGAAAUUUGGAUUAACACCGUAUAGUAUAUAAAGGCCUCAUGGUUUUUAUAUUAAAGGCUACGGCAAAAGAUGGGUAUGCGUCCUAUUAGCUAGAUGGUAAGGUAACGGCUUACCAUGGCAACGAUAGGUAGGGGCCCUGAGAGGGGGAUCCCCCACACUGGUACUGAGACACGGACCAGACUCCUACGGGAGGCAGCAGUGAGGAAUAUUGGACAAUGGGCGCAAGCCUGAUCCAGCCAUGCUGCGUGCAGGAAGACGGCCCUAUGGGUUGUAAACUGCUUUUGUACGGGAAGAAACACCCCCUCGUGAGGGGGC